rnacentral:rRNA from 1 species
AACGAACGCUGGCGGCAGGCCUAACACAUGCAAGUCGAACGCCGUAGCAAUACGGAGUGGCAGACGGGUGAGUAACACGUGGGAACGUACCCUUCGGUUCGGAAUAACUCAGGGAAACUUGAGCUAAUACCGGAUACGUCCGAGAGGAGAAAGAUUUAUCGCCGAGGGAUCGGCCCGCGUCUGAUUAGCUUGUUGGUGAGGUAACGGCUCACCAAGGCGACGAUCAGUAGCUGGUCUGAGAGGAUGAUCAGCCACAUCGGGACUGAGACACGGCCCAAACUCCUACGGGAGGCAGCAGUGGGGAAUAUUGGACAAUGGGCGCAAGCCUGAUCCAGCCAUGCCGCGUGAGUGAUGAAGGCCCUAGGGUUGUAAAGCUCUUUUACCCGGGAAGAUAAUGACUGUACCGGGAGAAUAAGCCCCGGCUAACUUCGUGCCAGCCGCCGCAGUAAC